rnacentral:rRNA from 1 species
UACAGAGGUCUCAAGCGUUGUUCGGAUUCACUGGGCGUAAAGGGUGCGUAGGCGGCUCGGUAAGUCGGGUGUGAAAUCUCGGAGCUUAACUCCGAAACUGCAUUCGAUACUGCCGUGCUUGAGGACUGGAGAGGAGACUGGAAUUUACGGUGUAGCGGUGAAAUGCGUAGAUAUCGUAAGGAAGACCAGUGGCGAAGGCGGGUCUCUGGACAGUUCCUGACGCUGAGGCACGAAAGUCAGGGGAGCAAACGGG